AGGAUCAGUCAGGCAUAGCUCGCGCAUUGAUUUGGUAGCUGAAAAGCAAUACGCUAAAUAUGUGCAUACCAAAUGCAUUCUUAUUCUACGACUUUUAAAUACUUGCUCCGUCGCUUCACUUGCCAGAUACACUGUCUUUCUUCGACAUCACGAACACAUGGUCAGAACGAACCAGUGACAAAUUAAUUUGUUUUGUGUUACAACCUCCUCACACCAUGAAGACCCGUUUUUUAAUGUAAGAAGAAUAAAUAUUACCACUCUUACUACUGUAUCUACUUUAACUCACACCAUGAAGACUCGUUUUUUAAUAGUGUUUCUGAUAACUGUAAUGUGCGCGUACAUUACAUUCGGCCGUGAAAUAAAUUACCAUGGUAUAUUAAUUCAAUAUGCUUUAUGCGCAACUAAACACUGUUUAAACACAGCUUCAGAGAUUAAAGCCAAACUAAACCGCACGGUUGAUCCUUGCGACGAUUUUUACAAAUUUGCUUGUGGCGGAUGGUUGCAAAAAACUAAAUUGAAUCAGUCAGAUUCAUACGUUUCUACGUUUACCGAGAUUACCGAACAAACAGAAAAGCAAC